UACGUAGGGGGCGAGCGUUAAUCGGAAUUACUGGGCGUAAAGCGUGCGUAGACGGUUAUUUAAGUCGGGUGUGAAAGCCCCGGGCUCAACCUGGGAAUUGCAUUCGAGACUGAAUAGCUAGGGUACGGUAGAGGGAAGCGGAAUUUCCGGUGUAGCGGUGAAAUGCGUAGAUAUCGGAAGGAACAUCAGUGGCGAAAGCGGCUUCCUGGACCAGUACCGACGUUCAGGCACGAAAGCGUGGGGAGCAAACAGG
rnacentral:rRNA from 1 species